rnacentral:rRNA from 1 species
AUUGAACGCUGGCGGCAGGCCUAACACAUGCAAGUCGAGCGGAGCGGCGGAAGGGUGGGUAAUGACUAGGAGUCUGGCUGGUAGUGGGGGAUCACGUCCUGAAAGGGACGCUAAUACAGCAUACUAGCAGAUGAGCCUAGGUCGGAUUAGCUAGUUGGUGGGGUAAAGGACUACAAAGGCUACGAUCCGUAACUGGUCUGAGAGGAUGAUCAGUCAUACUGGGACUGAGACACGGUCCAGACUCCUACGGGAGGCAGCAGUGGGGAAUAUUGGACAAUGGGCGAAAGCCUGAUCCAGCCAUGCCGCGUGUGUGAAGAAGGUCUUCGGAUUGUAAAGCACUUUAAGUUGGGAGGCGUUACCGACAGAAUAAGCACCGGCGAACUCCGUGCCAGCAGCCGCGGUAAUUC